rnacentral:piRNA from 1 species
UNGACUGGUCACAGCAGCUGAUGCGCGA